rnacentral:rRNA from 1 species
AUGCAAGUCGAGCGGAAACGACAACAUUGAAUCUUCGGAGGAUUUGUUGGGCGUCGAGCGGCGGACGGGUGAGUAAUGCCUAGGAAAUUGCCUUGAUGUGGGGGAUAACCAUUGGAAACGAUGGCUAAUACCGCAUAAUGCCUACGGGCCAAAGAGGGGGAUCUUCGGACCUCUCGCGUCAAGAUAUGCCUAGGUGGGAUUAGCUAGUUGGUGAGGUAAUGGCUCACCAAGGCGACGAUCCCUAGCUGGUCUGAGAGGAUGAUCAGCCACACUGGAACUGAGACACGGUCCAGACUCCUACGGGAGGCAGCAGUGGGGAAUAUUGCACAAUGGGCGAAAGCCUGAUGCAGCCAUGCCGCGUGUAUGAAGAAGGCCUUCGGGUUGUAAAGUACUUUCAGUUGUGAGGAAGGGGGUAACGUUAAUAGCGUUAUCUCUUGACGUUAGCAACAGAAGAAGCACCGGCUAACUCCGUGCCAGCAGCCGCGGUAAUACGGAGGGUGCGAGCGUUAAUCGGAAUUA